AUACGGAGGAUGCGAGCGUUAUCCGGAUUUAUUGGGUUUAAAGGGUGCGUAGGCGGAUUAAUAAGUCAGUGGUGAAAACCUGCAGCUUAACUGUGGAACUGCCGUUGAUACUGUUAGUCUUGAGUAUGGUCAAGGUAGGCGGAAUGUGUAAUGUAGCGGUGAAAUGCUUAGAUAUUACACAGAACACCGAUUGCGAAGGCAGCUUACUGGGCCGUUACUGACGCUGAUGCACGAAAGCGUGGGGAUC
rnacentral:rRNA from 1 species